CGAUUGUAUGAAACGAGUGACGGAGAGAGCCCUUUAAAGGGCUCUCUUACGUAAUCCCAUACAAAUAACAGACAAAAUAUCAGUGGGCGUUUUUAGGCACCAACCAAUCACAAACAUGUUUUCAAAAAAUAUUGGUAAUACAUAAUUUGAAAAUAUAGUUUCGUUUGUGAUUGUUAUAAUUUGAUGUAUCUUAAAAUGGUUCACGCCCACUGAAAUUUUUGUCUCUGUCAUUUGUCCCAUACAAAUGACAGAGACAAAAAUUUCAGUUUUUUUAUUACAUAUAUUUUAAAUUACGUAACAGAGAGAGCGGUAUACUUUCCGUGGGUAGAGUAUUGCCGGGUCCGUCUGGAAGUCCGGUGCGGGGAAGUGGGACGCGAGGUAACGGCAUUCUCGAAACAGAUGAGUUAUAACUCGUAAUAAGAAUGAUAAUAUGAUGAUUAAAAAGUGAUUAUAAAUUAUUUCAUAUAUCAGAAUCAGAAGGCAAAAAUAAAAACUAUGAAAUGGUAA